AAGAAGUUCGGUGUAAUCAUUGUAUAUUGUGUUCCUAUUGUUUAUGUUAUGAAAACGUGUUUCCGGGAAAGAAUGAAAUGAACACUGAUUAAAAAGUUAACGAUUGUUGGAAGAACGUGACGUAAUGUCUUGUAAUUAUGCGGAAGGUCUUUCAGAUUACGAUGACAAAGGGAUUUGUGGCCUACCCGAGGAACACGAUGAUCUGGAUGAUAUCGUAGUAAAAGUAGAAUUAUUGGCUAAAUGGAUGAGAGAAUCUAAUCAUACUGUUUUUCACACUGGAGCAGGAAUUAGCACUUCUUCGGGCAUUCCCGAUUUUAGAGGACCAAAGGGAGUCUGGACUUUAGAAGAGAAGGGCAUAAAACCUCAAAUUAACACGUCAUUUGACGAGGCUGUGCCGACCACCACGCAUAUGGCAUUGCUGGCGUUGGAGAAAGCCGGAUACGUUCAUUACAUAGUCAGCCAGAACGUUGACGGUUUGCACUUACGAUCCGGAUUUCCUGCUUCUAAGUUGUCGGAGCUUCAUGGUAAUAUGUUUCUUCACAAAUGUAAUAAAUGUAAAAGAUUGUUCGUGCAAAAUACUGCAGGUAAAUCUGUUGGACAAAAAAAUACGGGAGUCUUGUGCCCUAUUCCUAAAUCUAACAAUAAACCAUGUCGUGGUACACUCUACGACACAAUUUUGGAUUGGGAAGAUGAAUUACCUGAAAUUGAUUUAAAAAUGGCAGAGAAACAUUCAAAAGAAGCUGAUUUGAGUAUUUGUUUAGGCACAACUCUUCAAAUAAUACCAAGUGGUAAUUUACCUCUCCUUACAAAAACAAAUAAUGGAAAAUUAGUAAUUUGCAAUUUACAACCUACAAAACAUGACAAGCAUGCUGAUUUACUCAUACAUGAUUAUGUGGACAAUAUCAUGAUUCAACUACUAAAAAUAUUGGAAGUGAAGAUUACUCCUUACUCGGAUGAUAUUGAUCCUACAAGAAAUUCAUCUUUAUUUAAGUACAUCGAACGUCCAUCUGUUAAAUUCAUAAGAAAUGAUAACAAAUGCAAGAAUAAGAAUUCAAAUCAUCAGAAAUUGAAAGAAGAGAACAAUGUUCAUAAAAAGUUAAAAUUGAAAAUUUCAUAGAACUUAAAGAUACUUGAUAUCUACUAUCAUCUAUAAUUUCAAUAAUUUAAUGAAAAUUCAACAUUGAGUGUCUAUAUAAUAAUUUGAAGCAAGAAAAUUGAAACAGUAUUUUACGAAUAUCUGUUAAUUUACUGCAAAGUGCAAGUGAAAAAUUGGCAUCGAGACACAUCAGUAGUUCCAUAAUGUGACAACUGGAUUUAAAGUAAUUACUUAAUGUAUUCAUGCGUGUUUUUAUAAUUAAACAAAGUUUUUAAAGAAAUUUAUGAGUAAUAUACGAUAUCUAAAUUUAUAUUAAAAUAAUUUUAUUUAUUUAUUUCAUAAUUAUUUUAUUUCAUUAAAUAAUUCCCAAGUAACUUAUAGAACAUU
rnacentral:misc_RNA from 1 species